UAUACUUAUUAAGUGAAUCGAAAAGAUAUGCUAAAUAAGAUAUCCAAACAGAACCAGGAGUUUUUUAGAUAUUGUAAAUCAUGUCGAUUAUGUUAGAUUUUUUAUAUUGAAAUAUUAUGACUGUGAAAAGAUACAGAACUUACUUGAACUGUAGAUCAUUUUGAAUCGGCUAAACAAUCUUUCAAAAUUUUGAUUUUACUAUGUGACCUUUUAAUUCGUUUGAUUUGAAUCAGUCAAUUGUACUUUGACUAUAAAUUCAUUAAAGUAAGUAACUAGUUUAAAUUUUUAUAGUUAUGAAAAUUGCAUGAAGUAUACCAUAAAAAAAAAUAAACGAAGCAUUCAAAAUUUUGAAAUCAAAAUGCUAUUUACCGACUCAAAUCAAACAAAUUAAAAGGUUAGAUAACAAAAUCAAAACUUUAAAAAGUAUGAUAGUCGAAUCAAAAUAGUCCAUAAUUCAGAUAAAUUUUGUAUGUUUUUACUUACUUUAAUGAACUUAUAGUAGUGAAAAUUGCAUAAAAUAUACUAACUUAGCAUAUAAAAAAAAAAUAAAGCAUUCAAGAUUUCAAAUUGCAUGAAGUGUAGUAACUCACAUAUAUAAAAAACAAAGCAUUCAAAUUAUGAAAUCAAAAUACUGUCAACUGACUCAAAUCAAACAAAUUGAAAGGUUGGAUAACAAAAUUAAAACAUCAGAAGGCAGAAUAGUCGAAUCAAAAUAGUUCAUAAUUCGGAUAAGUUUUGAAUGUAGUCGAAUAAAAAAAAUUCAUAAUUCAGAUAAGUUCAGUAUAUUUUUACUUAUUGAGAAGAAUAAAGUACUAGGUGUGGUGUUGUACAUUGUGUAUGAUAUGUAUGGAUACAACAGGUGCAGUAAAU
rnacentral:lncRNA from 1 species